UACCUUGACCAUUUUUGUAUCACAGACCUGCCUUUGUACUCGCUAUUGUACUCUUUCUAUAUUAAGGAGGCAAGUAGACAAGCAGGAUUUAUGGGACAUCAAACGUCCACAGCUCUAAACUUCAACAAUCAUGCGACAAGUGACGGGGCGUGAAAUACAUUUCAAGAGAGACAAUAAAGAGCUGCAGCUGUUGUCUGUGGUAAGGUAAGACAGGGCCAAGGUCACAGCUGUGAGAUCUCUUUCAUUAUCACUCACCACUGGUAACAGUAAGAUCUACACGCCCAGUGCAACACUGGACACGUAGAACUUUUUCCUUUUCUUUAGCAAGUGUUCAGUCUCCACAUUCAAGCUGAAGUUCAUGUUACACAAAUACAUGUUACCAGGGCACACUUUGAACUGAACAAGUGUUAUAUUGGUUGUAAAUCAAACUGAUGAAAUUUUCAGAUUUCAUUAAAUUAGAAACAAAUAAAGGGUAAGAGAGGUUUUUAUCCUUGAUGGAGGUAAAACAUUUGACAAAUCAAUAAAUGGUAAAGGCAAAUAAGUAAACAAAGGAAUUACGUGACUGAAAUUAAUGUCACCACAGCUCCUGCAUUUCACUGCACCGGGAAAACAACAUUCUCUUACUUAGUGCCACAAGCAAAUGCUACUAUAGUAACAAGGGUUUUGUCCAUUGUGAUGGUUUGAUCUCACUUGGCCCUUUAUUUAUAACCUCUAUUUGCACCCUCUUAUCCUUCUAUGGUGCCCGGACUUAAACGUUUGCGCCACCUACUGCCUGACUAGAUGAACUAACCAAUCAAACAAGUGGGUGGUUUCUUUUACAGAACUUUUGAAAUCUUUAUAUUUCAAUUUCAUACUGUGUGACCACCAAUAAUUAAUGACUAAUUAAUGACAUUUGGCCACAAUCCUAUUUGCCAAGGUAACCUACAUACAGAUCAAAGGAAGGUGAGGGUGGCGUUUGUCUAGGCAGAAAACCUGCUGUGUGGCUAGUGGGAACACAAAAUGUGAAAAUGGGUUUUUAACUAUGAAUCCAGAAAAAUUCAUCGGAUUGCCCUAAAAACUUCGUCCGAUGGCAAAUUUUGCAAGUCGUGGUGUGCACACCAAAUUGGGUGAGUUUUUGUGCAGGGUGCAAAGUGCACUCAAAACGUAAAUGAAAGACAAAUAAUUUGAUUGGAUACAAUAGGGCCUUUGCAACUGUUGGUGCUCAACCCUUAAAUGAAGAGUAUGCAACGUAUUGUUCAAGGCUUGGUGUGCGAAAAAAAGUCUUACUAGACCUAUGAGAUAACAAAGAUAGACAAGGAUUAAAGGGUCCCAAAGGGUUGCGGGGCUUUAGCGCCACCUGCUGUUAAACAUAAGAAAAACCCAGAGACGCUUAACUUUUCGAUGAUACAUAUGAUCGUCAGAGCAUCAUGGAUGAUUUAGUUGCAAAAAGCCUAACACUGCAUGACUGCAGUGGGAACAUUCUGUGCCAUAUGACAAAGAAAAGUCCAAAUACACAUAGGAGUAAUUUUGUCCAUUAAGCUUUGGCGUUGAAAAAAAAAAACAAUAAAACUUCUAUGGGCCAUCCCCGCAAAAAAAACCGUGAUGCCAACAAAUAGCUUAAUUUCUUCAUAGAUUAUGGUCAUGUAUGUAUAAUUAUUGCAUAAAAUGAAGAAAAGUAAAGUCCUAAAUCACAGUUCUGUUUCUGCAUGAUCCCCUACAUACAUGUUCAAUGAUUGUGCUCUGAAACAAUGUCAAAGUGCUGUGACCUGUACUUCACACUUCUGUUCGAAAGAUGGCUGCUGCAAGUGCCCUUGGCCUGGUGCUGUGCUGUGACCUGUACUUCACACUUCCGUUCGAAAGAUGGCUGCUGCAAGUGCCCUUGGCCUGAUCCAGUUGACAUGGCAUUGUUUUCUUCUAUGUAUCCUUGAGGACAAAGAUAACUUGUGAAAUUCCUGCUGGCGGUCUUUGGGUACCUUUCGGGACAGCUUGUGACGCUGGUGGUCGGGGAAGAUUUUUGUUUUUCCGUUGACCAGUGGCAACAGGUGAUAAGCCUGUUAGACCCCACUUGUGUACUCUAUAUAUAUUGUGUACGCUAAAUUAGUCUAUAGAAACAAUUCGCUAGUCUAUAGUACAAUUUGCGAACUAGCAGCUCAAAUGUCAGUGACUGUGAAGGAAAUUAGUCAUGUAAUAGUGUUAUUACUUUCCUGGCCUGUUUGAGGAUUUAAGCCCAGGUAAAGUGAAACAAAUUGGUACUCAUUAAAUUAUACAAAGCUCAUUAGCCACUUGGGCAACCAGCAACACUACAACUCUCAUCUUCUUUACUUAUCCCUCAGUCUAUUCCAGGCUCCGUUGUCCAUUCCCAGCUGUCUACAGUCCUUGUGUCUUUGACUUUUACAAUCCCUCCAAUCCAUAAGGGAAGGUGUGAGGCACCUUGCCUCACUUAAGUUUGAAACUGGAGCCAACAAAGCUAUUGUUACUAUGUGUUAUUUGUUGUCGUGAAAGGUCACUUCUAAGGGGGUGUUGUGUUUCAGCACAGGCUUACUGAAGUUGAUUGGUCUCUUGCCUUGUCUUCUCUCCAUUCAUUCAGACUAUGGACUUCUGCGCGGACACUUGUCUCCUGAUGAGGCAAAGAUCAGGACAUGGCAAAGUGUUAGAAUGGUGUCUUGAAGGACUGCACCUCAAAGUGCACCUAAGUCCAGAUUCUCUGUUGUCUUCAUUCUGUCUCAAAUGGCCCUCCCUCACCUGGCACUGAGAGGAGCAUGCAUAUUGCUGCAGAAAGAAAGACCACACUGCUGAUUUGAAGAGGAUCCUGUUGGGGAAACCUUUCCUGCAGAUCCUGAUGCCCUCCAGCACACCGUUACAGCGCAGCUGGUGCAUCACCAGGGGAUUCUCCAUGGCCCCAGGAGUCUUUGUCUCAUUGGGAAUGAUGCAGCGCACAAAAUGAGGCUGUCUCAAUCCCUGUGGAAACCUCCGUCUGUGCCGUGCGUUGCCCCCCUCCCUGACUUUCAUCUCCUUUUCUUUGAGUCACAGCCAUGCAGACAUACCCCAAAGAUCAAACUUUUGAAGGACACACCAUGUGAGAUCAAAGUCAGUGUUGGGUCCUGCACACAUGUCAAGCUGAGAUACAUACAACCUUCACUUUGCUUCUUCUGACGGUGUGAGAGGGUGCGAAUCACUCCCUCCUUGUUCUGGUGCAGGUGAACGAGUUACUUUGGGAACAAAAUGGGAACUACAGCGCAGGAGUUUUCCAAAAGCUCCAGUCGUUGGUGGUCUGUGUGUUUCACUCCUCAUCGAGUCCUUUCUGUGAAGAACGACAAGAGAGUGGACAAGGAGACGGGAUUAUUAGAGACAGAAGACUAACAUAAUAAGUGUUACAAAAAGGUGUGACGCUACAUUUAGAAACAUGAAAGAUUCAGGGUGCUGUAGUUUUUGGCUUCAAAAGCAAUCAUAGGUCUCAAACUCUUGGCCAUUUUGGUGUUUGAGGAUUUUUUUGUGAACUAUUUUGUUUGUAUUAAAACAAACAUCUUUACUUUGAAAUUAUGUGGAACUAUUGUGACAAAUUAACCCCUGCAGUAAAACCUGUGUUGAAUGUAAAAAAUCUGUAGCAUGGACUGUAUUUGGAGAAAUCACAUAA